rnacentral:rRNA from 1 species
UACGGAAGGCAGCAGUGGGGAAUAUUGUACAAUGGGCGAAAGCCUGAUGCAGCUAUGCCGCGUGUAUGAAGAAGGCCUUAGGGUUGUAAAGUACUUUCAUCGGGGAGGAAAAAACAAAACUAAUAAUUUUAUUUCUUGACGUUACCCGAAAAAGAAGCACCGGCUAACUCCGUGCCAGCAGCCGCGGUAAUACGGAGGGUGCUAGCGUUAAUCAGAAUUACUGGGCGUAAAGAGCACGUAGGUGGUUUUUUUAAGUCAGAUGUGAAAUCCCUGGGCUUAACCUAGGAACUGCAUUUUGAAACUGAAAUACUAGAGUAUCGUAGAGGGAGGUAGAAUUCUAGGUGUAGCGGUGAAAUGCGUAGAUAUCUGGAGGAAUACCUGUGGCGAAAGCGGCCUCCUAAACGAAUACUGACACUGAGGUGCGAAAGCGUGGGGAGCAAACAGGGAUUAGAUACC